rnacentral:rRNA from 1 species
GAGUUUGAUCCUGGCUCAGGAUGAACGCUAGCGGGAGGCUUAACACAUGCAAGUCGAGCGGUAUUGACCUUCGGGUCGAGAGAGCGGCGCACGGGUGCGUAACGCGUAUGCAACCUGCCUUAUGCAGGGGGAUAGCCCGGGGAAACCCGGAUUAAUACCCCAUAGAUCAGUAGUAUCGCAUGGUACAGCUGGUAAAGAUUCAUCGGCAUAAGAUGGGCAUGCGUCUGAUUAGCUAGUUGGUAGGGUAACGGCCUACCAAGGCGACGAUCAGUAGGGGUUCUGAGAGGAUUAUCCCCCACACUGGUACUGAGACACGGACCAGACUCCUACGGGAGGCAGCAGUGAGGAAUAUUGGUCAAUGGGCGCAAGCCUGAACCAGCCAUCCCGCGUGAAGGAUGAAUGCCUUAUGGGUUGUAAACUUCUUUUGUACCUGAAGAAACUCUGGGUCGUGACCUGGACUGCCGGUAGGGUACGAAUAAGCAUCGGCUAACUCCGUGCCAGCAGCCGCGGUAAUACGGAGGAUGCAAGCGUUAUCCGGAUUUAUUGGGUUUAAAGGGUGCGCAGGUGGUUGAAUAAGUCAGUGGUGAAAGUCCGCCGCUUAACGGUAGGAUUGCCAUUGAUACUGUUUGACUUGAGUUUAGGUGAGGUAGGCGGAAUGUGUAGUGUAGCGGUGAAAUGCAUAGAUAUUACACAGAACACCGAUUGCGAAGGCAGCUUACUAAUCUACAACUGACACUGAGGCACGAAAGCGUGGGGAUCAAACAGGAUUAGAUACCCUGGUAGUCCACGCUGUAAACGAUGAUCACUCGCUGUUUGCGAUAUACAGUAAGCGGCUAAGAAAGCGAUAAGUGAUCCACCUGGGGAGUACGAUCGCAAGGUUGAAACUCAAAGGAAUUGACGGGGGCCCGCACAAGCGGAGGAACAUGUGGUUUAAUUCGAUGAUACGCGAGGAACCUUACCUGGGCUUAAAUGGGGAGUGACAGCUGGCGAAAGUUGGUUUUCUUCGGACACUCUUCAAGGUGCUGCAUGGUUGUCGUCAGCUCGUGCCGUGAGGUGUCGGGUUAAGUCCCAUAACGAGCGCAACCCUUACUGUUAGUUGCCAGCGGGUCAAGCCGGGAACUCUAACGGGACUGCC